rnacentral:rRNA from 1 species
UACGUAGGGUGCGAGCGUUGUCCGGAAUUAUUGGGCGUAAAGGGCUCGUAGGCGGUUUGUCGCGUCGGGAGUGAAAACCAGGUGCUUAACACCUGGCUUGCUUUCGAUACGGGCAGACUAGAGUGCGGUAGGGGAGAUUGGAAUUCCUGGUGUAGCGGUGGAAUGCGCAGAUAUCAGGAGGAACACCGAUGGCGAAGGCAGAUCUCUGGGCCGUUACUGACGCUGAGGAGCGAAAGCGUGGGGAGCGAACAGG